rnacentral:rRNA from 1 species
UUGACGGGGGCCCGCACAAGCGGAGGACAUGUGGUUUAAUUCGAUGAUACGCGAGGAACCUUACCUGGGCUUAAAUGGGGAGUGACAACUGUCGAAAGAUGGUUUUCUUCGGACACUCUUCAAGGUGCUGCAUGGUUGUCGUCAGCUCGUGCCGUGAGGUGUCGGGUUAAGUCCCAUAACGAGCGCAACCCUUACCGUUAGUUACCAUCAGGUUAAGCUGGGGACUCUAGCGGGACUGCCACCGUAAGGUGAGAGGAAGGUGGGGAUGACGUCAAAUCAGCACGGCCCUUAUGUCCAGGGCUACACACGUGUUACAAUGGCCAGUACAAAGGGCAGCUACCGGGUGACCGGAUGCUAAUCUCUAAAGCUGGUCUCAGUUCGGAUCGAAGUCUGCAACCCGACUUCGUGAAGCUGGAUUCGCUAGUAAUCGCGCAUCAGCCAUGGCGCGGUGAAUACGUUCCCGGGCCUU